rnacentral:rRNA from 1 species
CGCGUAGGUGGCGCGACAAGUCAGUGGUGAAAGCUCGACGCUCAACGUCGAGUCGGCCACUGAUACUGUUGGGCUUGAGCACUGUAGAGGCUAAUGGAAUUCCGGGUGUAGCGGUGGAAUGCGUAGAGAUCCGGAAGAACACCGGUGGCGAAGGCGGUUAGCUGGGCAGUUGCUGACACUGAGGCGCGACAGCGUGGGAGCAAACA